rnacentral:tRNA from 1 species
GGAGACAUAGCUCAGUGGUAGAGUACUUGCCUAGCAUGCAAGAGCAGGCACAGUGGCGCAUGCUUAAAAUCCCAGUGUCUCUG